rnacentral:rRNA from 1 species
UACGUAGGGGGCAAGCGUUGUCCGGAUUUAUUGGGCGUAAAGAGCGUGUAGGCGGCCAGGUAGUCUGCUGUGAAAACUCGAGGCUUAACCUCGAGCUGUCGGCGGAAACCAUCUGGCUAGAGUCCGGAAGAGGAGAAUGGAAUUCCCGGUGUAGCGGUGAAAUGCGCAGAGAUCGGGAGGAACACCAAUGGCGAAAGCAGGUAACUGGACUAUUGCUGACACUCAGCUGCGAAAGCUAGGGGAGCAAACAGG